rnacentral:rRNA from 1 species
UCGAGCGGUAGAGAGAAGCUUGCUUCUCUUGAGAGCGGCGGACGGGUGAGUAAUGCCUAGGAAUCUGCCUGGUAGUGGGGGAUAACGUUCGGAAACGGACGCUAAUACCGCAUACGUCCUACGGGAGAAAGCAGGGGACCUUCGGGCCCUUGCGCUAUCAGAUGAGCCUAGGUCGGAUUAGCUAGUUGGUGGGGUAAUGGCUCACCAAGGCGACGAUCCGUAACUGGUCUGAGAGGAUGAUCAGUCACACUGGAACUGAGACACGGUCCAGACUCCUACGGGAGGCAGCAGUGGGGAAUAUUGGACAAUGGGCGAAAGCCUGAUCCAGCCAUGCCGCGUGUGUGAAGAAGGUCUUCGGAUUGUAAAGCACUUUAAGUUGGGAGGAAGGGCAUUAACCUAAUACGUUAGUGUUUUGACGUUACCGACAGAAUAAGCACCGGCUAACUCUGUGCCAGCAGCCGCGGUAAUACAGAGGGUGCAAGCGUUAAUCGGAAUUACUGGGCGUAAAGCGCGCGUAGGUGGUUUGUUAAGUUGGAUGUGAAAUCACCGGGCUCAACCAGGGAAACUGCAUUCAAAACUGACUGACUAGAGUAUGGUAGAGGGUGGUGGAAUUUCCUGUGUAGCGGUGAAAUGCGUAGAUAUAGGAAGGAACACCAGUGGCGAAGGCGACCACCUGGACUAAUACUGUCACUGAGGUGCGAAAGCGUGGGGAGCAAAC